CCCUCACCACCAUCAUCACCACCACCACAUUCACUCACCAUCCCCUGCUCCUACCCCUGUUAAUGUCCACCCUGCUCCUCCUACACAUUCUCCCUACCCUUCUACCCCUGUACCUGCUAAACCACCAACUCAUCACCACCAUGUCCAUCACCACCCUCCUCCCCCUGUUAAACCACCUGUUCACACACCUAUUGUAACCCAUCCACCAUUGUACACACCUGUUCCAACUCACCCACCACUGCACCCCCCUGUUCCAGCUCACCCACCAUUGCACCCCCCUUCAGUUCCAGCUCACCCAC
rnacentral:lncRNA from 1 species